CUCCAUCUCACAAUCGAUAAUGCACACCCAGUAGGAGUACAUUUCAAGUUCAUUCUCUGACGGUUCGUAUUUGGCUUCUACUUCUAAUCGAAAUAAAUAUCAUUUUCAUUUUUUUAAGAUUUAAAUGUUUAGAAUAAUUUUUUCUUUAUUUGUGUUAUGGUUGGUGUGAUUUGAAGUUGGGAAAAAAAAUACUUAUGUAGGGUUUUGAUUUAAUGAGUUACUAUCAGCUUGUUUGGAGUGAUUUUUUGACAAAAAAAAAUUGAUUUUUUUUACAGUAAUUUUACUAUUUCAGUUUUCACUUCUUCUCUCAGACCCCACUUUUCUCACUCAAAAAAUCAAUUCUCAAAAUGACUUUCAAACAUGCUCUAUAUUUAACUUCCUAAACAAUUGAGAUUUUCAAGCAUUUCCUUUGUAAUGUUGGGUAGAAUUUUUUAGUUUAUUUGAUUUUUUGGUUUAUGGAAAUCUAGAUUCGUUCCUUUUUUAUUUGGUAUUUCUAUUCUUUGAACUAGAUUUGAUCAUUUAGACUUCUAACUAUGAUAACUUAAUAUCUAAAAGCAUAUGUGCUUUGCUAAUAAAAAACGAAAAUAGGUGGAAAAUGUGGUGCACUUUUAUUUAGUAGACUACAUUUUAGGCUGCAUUUAGAAGUAAGCAUGAAAAAAAAUUUAGUAUGCUCUUGUUUAGUUUGGUUGUAUGAUUUCGACAAUUUUACUUAGUUGGAAGUUUUGUAAAAGAUUUCUUUCCAAAUAUAUUAUCGUUUUGAAGGUUAUCGAUAAACUGAAUUCUUUUUGAAUUGUGUUAUAAAUGUGAUUUUAAUUUUUAAUUAAGUUAGUCUCAUUUUUUAAUUUCUAAAUCAGUUUAGUUACAUUUAUUUGUAAGCUUGUUAAUUUAUCUAAAGAUUUUGAUAUUUUUUAUCAAGUCAUUGGUUCAAUUUUGUAUGACUAGGAGUUAUGCAUAUGUUACGAUCUUUUUUUCUUUUUCUUUUUUUCAUUCUUUUACUAACAGUGAUUUGUUGAAUCGAUUUAUGGUCGUUCACGUGUUGUUCGGAUGAAAUUUUUGAGUUUAAUUUAAAUGUAGAUUGAAUUUGUGAGUUGAUAUAUUUUUUAAAUUUGGUGCAAUGUAGUUCAAUUUGAGGAUUCAAACAUUUGAUUCGUGUGAACAUAUGAGGAGUUCAAACAUAGUUCUUAUGGAACCCAUCUGUUGAGAUAAACCGUCAUUCUUGACAGUUAUGUUCUAAAAUUCUCGACAAUUUGUUGUUUUUCGACAGUUAUGAUACAAUGUCAAACUUGUUUAAACUACUCUUCUAUGUGUGUUACGUAGUAAAUGUAUUACAUAUCAUAAUCUAACCUCUGGUAUUUGUUCAUGUUAUUGAUUUUUGCAGAUGAAUUUUAAUUUUUUUCUGACGAAGGAGGAACAUCUAUAUGCGCACAUAUUUUAGCACAAUAAUUUGAAGUUCAUCAAGAUGAUUCUUGAUAAAUUCGGUUUGGGUCAGAAAAUGGACUUCCAAAAUUCUCGUCUCGGGUUCCUAGCAAUUUUUCCUAAUAAUAGAUAUUUUAUUUUUGCAUAGAUGGACAACGGUGACAGGAAGAAAGAAAAAACAUGAAAUAAUUGAAAUUUGUUGAAUGGUAAACAUUAUUGUUCCCUUUUAAAUGAUUGAAAAUAGUGGAACUUUGUAGGGC
rnacentral:lncRNA from 1 species